rnacentral:rRNA from 1 species
AUGGUCAAUGGAGUAACCGGCCCUCCAAUCUGGCACCGUCGCGACCUGAGACAAGGCGACUCCACCUCCCCACAACUCUUCGUGCUGGCGGUGGACACCCUUGGGAGGCUGAUGCGUCUCGCUCUGCACACGGGUAUCCUCCAGCAGCUGCACCCUCGGCGAGCCAUUCCGGCGAUAUCUCUUUAUGCCGACUAUGUGAUGCUUUUCUGCCAUGCCACUACCGAGGAGAAUGCCGUUGUCAAAGGCAUUCUGGACGUGUUCGGUACGGCGUCUGGGCUGCGGGUGAAUUACGCCAAGAGCUUGGCCACGAUCCUUCAUGCCGACAACCACAGCGAGGGGCUGUUGGAGCCACUUGGGUGCCCCGUCGUGGCCUUGCCGGUCACCUAUCUGGGCAUCCGCUCUCCACUUGCCGCCCAUCCACAGCCCAGCUGCAACCCCUCGUCGACGCGGUGGCGGGCCGGCUACCCUCCUGGAAAGCUUGGCUGA